AGUGAACGCUGGCGGUAGGCCUAACACAUGCAAGUCGAACGGCAGCACAGGAGAGCUUGCUCUCUGGGUGGCGAGUGGCGGACGGGUGAGGAAUACAUCGGAAUCUACUUUUUCGUGGGGGAUAACGUAGGGAAACUUACGCUAAUACCGCAUACGACCUACGGGUGAAAGCAGGGGACCUUCGGGCCUUGCGCGAUUGAAUGAGCCGAUGUCGGAUUAGCUAGUUGGCGGGGUAAAGGCCCACCAAGGCGACGAUCCGUAGCUGGUCUGAGAGGAUGAUCGGCCACACUGGAACUGAGACACGGGCCAGACUCCUACGGGAGGCAGCAGUGGGGAAUAUUGGACAAGGGGCGCAAGCCUGAUCCAGCCAUACCGCGUGGGUGAAGAAGGCCUUCGGGUUGUAAAGCCCUUUUGUUGGGAAAGAAAUCCAGCUGGCUAAUACCCGGUUGGGAUGACGGUACCCAAAGAAUAAGCACCGGCUAACUUCGUGCCAGCCGCCGCCGUAA
rnacentral:rRNA from 1 species